rnacentral:sRNA from 1 species
ACAACAUAAAGGCCGAAGCUCUUAAUGAAGCACGGGGAACCCAUGUAUUUGGAUUUGGGGUGAAGCCGAUCUUUCCGCGGCGGGGCAUUCUCUUUUCGUCCUAACCCGACAGCUAACCUCGCAGGCCAAUUCGAAGGGAGAA